GGGCCUGUAGCUCAGCUUGGGAGAGCGCCUGCUUUGCAAGCAGGAUGUCAGCAGUUCGAUCCUGCUCAGGUCCA
rnacentral:tRNA from 1 species